rnacentral:rRNA from 1 species
UCAGGACGAACGCUGGCGGCACGCUUAACACAUGCAAGUCGAACGAGGUCCAUCCACUCGCAAGAGUGGUGAAGACCUAGUGGCGAACGGGUGAGUAACACGUGAGAAACCUGCCCCGAAGACCGGGAUAACUCACCGAAAGGUGAGCUAAUACCGGAUGCCUUCACGACGUCUCAUGGCGAUGUGAAGAAAUGGAUUCCGCUUCGGGAGGGUCUCGCGGCCUAUCAGCUUGUUGGUGAGGUAACGGCUCACCAAGGCGACGACGGGUAGCUGUUCUGAGAGGAAGAUCAGCCACACUGGGACUGAGACACGGCCCAGACUCCUACGGGAGGCAGCAGUGGGGAAUCUUGCGCAAUGGGCGAAAGCCUGACGCAGCGAUGCCGCGUGCGGGAAGACGGCCUUCGGGUUGUAAACCGCUUUCAGCAGGGACGAAAUUGACGGUACCUGCAGAAGAAGCUCCGGCCAACUACGUGCCAGCAGCCGCGGUAAGACGUAGGGGGCGAGCGUUGUCCGGAAUUAUUGGGCGUAAAGGGCUCCUAGGCGGUUCAGUAAGUCGACUGUGAAAAUCCAAGGCUCAACCUUGGGACGCCAGUCGAUACUGCUGUGACUCGAGUUCGGUAGAGGAAUGUGGAAUUCCUGGUGUAGCGGUGAAAUGCGCAGAUAUCAGGAGGAACACCAACGGCGAAGGCAGCACUCUGGGCCGAUACUGACGCUGAAGAGCGAAAGCGUGGGGAGCA